rnacentral:snRNA from 2 species
AUACCUUUCUAGGCCUUUUUCGCUAAGAUCAAGUGUAGUAUCAUUCUUAUCAGUUUAAUAUACAAUAUAUGGGUCAUUGAUCCACACGAUAUCAACUAAUUUUUUGGAAGUGGAGGUCCACCACGAUAGCUUGCUAUCGGGACCUUCAAAUGUUGCCUUGACAUUGCACUACUGGCUUGCUGGGCACACCCCCA